UCUGUACCAUGGAGGAUGAAAGGAGACCUAUUCCCUGCAGUGAGCAGCAGAAAGCCUCACAUGUCUGUUGACCUUAGGUCCUAUGGCAACAAAAAAUUAUGUUUCUUAACAGAGUAUUCCCACACGCAGAGUUCUGCUGAGAGUCAGGUUUAUGGGUGGUGGCAGUGCACUUUACUAUUCAAGAACCAGCAAGAUUUCCCUGGAGCAGAAAAAGCCUGCGUUCACAUCUCAGUACUUGCAGAGGUGAAGCACGAGUUCUCCGUGGACAUGACCUGUGAAGGCUGUGCUGACGCAGUCUCGCGGGUGCUCAACAAGCUGGGAGGAGUUAAGCAUCACAUUGAUCUGCCCAACAAGAAGGUUUGCAUCGAAUCUGACCACAGUGUGGACACUCUGCUGGAGACCUUGAAGAAAACAGGAAAGGCUGUUUCCUACCUCAACACUGAGUAGCAAGGGCUGUGGAUUCCUGGCCCACAGGAUGGACCAAAGGGGGCAGGUUGGCUGCUGAUCCUGUCCUGGCUUCCAGUCGAACAUGAGUCCUGACAGUCGUGCUCAAUGGUGGAAGCCCCGCCUGAGAUCCUCACUUACCCUGUUCCUUCCUAGCUUCCCUGCAAUAAAGUCGAACUGCUUUUGUGGGA